CCUACGGGAGGCUGCAGUGGGGAAUAUUGCACAAUGGGCGCAAGCCUGAUGCAGCCAUGCCGCGUGUGUGAAGAAGGCCUUCGGGUUGUAAAGCACUUUCAGCGGGGAGGAAGGCGUUAAGGUUAAUAACCUUGUCGAUUGACGUUACCCGCAGAAGAAGCACCGGCUAACUCCGUGCCAGCAGCCGCGGUAAUACGGAGGGUGCAAGCGUUAAUCGGAAUUACUGGGCGUAAAGCGCACGCAGGCGGUCUGUCAAGUCGGAUGUGAAAUCCCCGGGCUCAACCUGGGAACUGCAUUCGAAACUGGCAGGCUAGAGUCUUGUAGAGGGGGGUAGAAUUCCAGGUGUAGCGGUGAAAUGCGUAGAGAUCUGGAGGAAUACCGGUGGCGAAGGCGGCCCCCUGGACAGAGACUGACGCUCAGGUGCGAAAGCGUGGGGAGCAAACAGGAUUAGAUACCCCAGUAGUC
rnacentral:rRNA from 1 species